rnacentral:lncRNA from 1 species
AAUGGCUUGUCUAGUGUUUAUUGGGGUUAGAAUAUGUUAGAAUACAAUGAAUUUGAUUGAUUACAAAUGCUAGAGAUGCGUGAAGAGUGUUUAGAAGUGUGUAGAAAGACUUGCUGAAAUUUGGUCCGAAAUGGGCUAAGAACCCACAAACAUUGCUUUGAAGAAUUAAAUGGCUUGUCUAGUGUUGUUUGGGGUUAGAAUAUGUUAGAAUACAAUAAAUUUGAUUGAUUACAAGUGCUAGAUAUGAAUGAAGAUUGUUUAGAAGUAUGGAGAAAGACUUAUUGAAAUUUGGUCCC